CAGCCCCCCCUCUGGUCUGCAGGUAAAUACGGCCAGCUCGGCCACGGGGACAGCGCCAGUUUGGACCGGCCCCAGCAGGUGGGCUACUUCCCUGCCCGUGGGCUCAGCGUGGAGGACGUGGUCUGCGGCCCCUGGAACACCUACGUCUGCGCUGCAGAGACAGGGGAGGCUGAGGCCAGAGGCACCGGGGAUGACACUUAGGCACAGAGCUGAACUGACUGUGGUCCAGCCGGCACCUGCCCUGGCUGCAGCUGCCCCCCCCCAGACAUGAGGCAGAACACCAGGCCAGAUGCUGCUCCAUGUAUUUUCUGCAGUGAACUGUACACUUAAUUCCACACUGCCCCUCCCCUGCAUCGCGCCUGCCAGGGAGGGCCUUAAAGGAAGCAGCUCUUGAAAUGCUCCUGCAGCAGCCCAGCCCCCCUGCAGUGCUAGCACAGCCACUGGGACCUAGGGCACUAGCCCUGCCCAGCAAGCGAGGCAGAAGGAAUUACCAGCAAGGCAGGCCAAGGAGCAGCUGAGGGGGGCUCUGGCUGCCCCACUUCUCCCUCCCAAGGGCCCACAGGCUGGUGCAGUAGUGUACGCAGAGCAAGGCGCAGUAGUGUACGAAGAGCAGGGCAGCCCUACUCUUGAAAAUAUUGCAUCUAACAAAGCAUGAAAGUCUCCGCAGUAUAAACCAUUAAAAACAUCUCCCUCCCCCCC